GGAGAAGAAGGCUGCUCAAGAGGCAGAGACCAGCAGCCAAGAAAGAGUAUCUGAGUCCACCUGGUGGCCAGAGGAUGGCAUAAAGGAAGUCCCUAAAGGCAGGCGGCAGAGGGGCUGCCAGCCUCAGCUGGUAACUUCUACAGCGAAAACCGCAGCACGCAGCGACUGAUCUUCUCAUGCUUUUCUAUCCCAUGCAUGGCCCUCUCCUUAUUGGGAUCAGAGAAAGUCCUUUAUGAAGGGAAAGUUGAAGAUCAACUGAGGGGCACCGGAUGCUCCCAAAGCCACAGCGUCACUUGCAGAAGAUCCAGGAGAAGCAGAAACUGCCAUACCUCCACCAGGUGCAAUGGGAGCUAGUGGCAAAGAGCCCCAUGCAGACGAAUGGGCCCAGAACCUCUGGGGAUGCAGACCCUGUUAAAAAAAAAUGACUGUGGAAUCUCCCUCCAGGAAAACACACAGCACAUGGAUGCCAUUCCAGGAAACCACAACUCUACACUUCAGAGACCACGUACUGUACGGAGCCCAGCCCCAACGGAUACAUCUGUAUCAUUGCUCCUGCAUCUAUGGCUCUGGGAAGACCAAGGGGGAAGACGCGGAAAGAUUGUAAGGGCCAGAAUACCAGGAAGUCUACGAUGCAACAGUCUCUCCUAGAAACAGCAGCUUUAACAAAGAAGAAGAGGAAAAAAAAGCAAUAGCAAUGGACAUGUCAGUGUGAG